GACGUAGGGCGCGAGCGUUGUCCGGAUUUAUUGGGCGUAAAGAGCUCGUAGGCGGCUUGUUGCGUCAGCUGUGAAAACCCGCAGCUCAACUGUGGGCUUGCAGCUGAUACGGGCAGGCUUGAGUUGGUAGGGGAGACUGGAAUUCCUGGUGUAGCGGUGAAAUGCGCAGAUAUCAGGAGGAACACCGGUGGCGAAGGCGGCCCUGCAUGGCGACGCUGACUGAGACGAAAGCGUGGGGAGCAAACAGG
rnacentral:rRNA from 1 species